rnacentral:rRNA from 1 species
UACGUAGGGGGCAAGCGUUGUCCGGAAUUAUUGGGCGUAAAGAGCGUGUAGGCGGUCCAGUAAGUCAGCUGUGAAAGUCAAGGGCUCAACCCUUGAAUGCCGGUUGAUACUGUCGGGCUAGAGUCCGGAAGAGGCGAGUGGAAUUCCCGGUGUAGCGGUGAAAUGCGUAGAUAUCGGGAGGAAUACCGAUGGCGAAGGCAGGUCUCUGGGCUGACACUGACGCUCAUGCACGAAAGCGUGGGGAGCAAACAGG